rnacentral:tRNA from 1 species
GCCUCGAUAGCUCAGUUGAAAGAGCGUUAGACUGAAGAUCUUAAGGACACCAGUUCGAACCUGGUUCGGGGCA